rnacentral:rRNA from 1 species
GAUUAACGCUGGCGGCGUGCCUAACACAUGCAAGUCGAACGAAGAAACGUAGUGGACUUCUUCGGAAAGACACUAAGCGGAGUAGUGGCGAACGGGGGAUUAACGCGUGAGUAACCUGCCUUACACAAGGGGAUAGCCUUUGGAAACGAAGAAUAAUACUCUAUAAAACCAUAAAAGCGCAUGCUAGAAUGGUCAAAGUGAUAGCGGUGUAAGAUGGACUUGCGUCUGAUUAGCGAGUUGGUGAGAUAAACGCUCACCAAGGCAACGAUCAGUAGCCGGAUUGGGAGCGUGUACGGCAACAUUGGGACUGGGACACGGCCCAGACCCCUCCGGGAGGCAGCAGUGGUGAAUGUUGCACAAUGGGGGAGACCUGGAUGCCGCGAGGCCGCGAGAUUCAGAAGGCCUUCGGGUUGUAAAAAUCUUUUGUAUAGGCAGAAAAUGACAGUACUAUACGAAUAAGGUCCGGCUAAUUACGUG